AUGAACGCUAGCGAUAGGCUUAACACAUGCAAGUCGAGGGGCAGCACAAGGUAGCUUGCUAUCUGGGUGGCGACCGGCGCACGGGUGCGUAACGCGUAUGCAACUUGCCCUAUACAGGAGGAUAACCCGUCGAAAGACGGACUAAUACUGCGUAUGCUCACAACUUGGCAUCAAGUGGUGAGGAAAGAAAUUCGGUAUAGGAUAGGCAUGCGUCCCAUUAGCUUGUUGGUGAGGUAACGGCUCACCAAGGCAACGAUGGGUAGGGGAACUGAGAGGUUUAUCCCCCACACUGGUACUGAGACACGGACCAGACUCCUACGGGAGGCAGCAGUGAGGAAUAUUGGUCAAUGGGCGCGAGCCUGAACCAGCCAAGUCGCGUGAAGGAUGACUGUCUUAUGGAUUGUAAACUUCUUUUAUACGGGAAUAACAAGAGUCACGUGUGACUCCCUGCAUGUACCGUAUGAAUAAGCAUCGGCUAACUCCGU
rnacentral:rRNA from 1 species